GAUGAAGAACGUAGCGAAAUGCGAUAAGUAAUGUGAAUUUCAGAAUUCAGUGAAUCAUCGAAUCUUUGAACGCACAUUGCGCCCGCCAGUAUUCUGGCGGGCAUGCCUGUCUGAGCGUCAUUUCAACCCUCAUGCCCCUAGGGCGUGGUGUUGGGGAUCGGCCAAAGCCCGCGAGGGACGGCCGGCCCCUAAAUCUAGUGGCGGACCCGUCGUGGCCUCCUCUGCGAAGUAGUGAUAUUCCGCAUCGGAGAGCGACGAGCCCCUGCCGUUAAACCCCCAACUUUCCAAGGUUGACCUCAGAUCAGGUAGGAAUACCCGCUGAACUUAAGCAUAUCAAUAAGCGGAGGA
rnacentral:misc_RNA from 1 species